rnacentral:rRNA from 1 species
AUUGAACGCUGGCGGCAUGCCUUACACAUGCAAGUCGAACGGUGAAAGAGGAGCUUGCUCCUCUGGAUCAGUGGCGAACGGGUGAGUAACACGUGAGUAACCUGCCCCAGACUCUGGGAUAAGCACUGGAAACGGUGUCUAAUACCGGAUACGAGCUUCAGCCGCAUGGCUAGGAGCUGGAAAGAAUUUCGGUCUGGGAUGGACUCGCGGCCUAUCAGCUAGUUGGUGAGGUAAUGGCUCACCAAGGCGACGACGGGUAGCCGGCCUGAGAGGGUGACCGGCCACACUGGGACUGAGACACGGCCCAGACUCCUACGGGAGGCAGCAGUGGGGGAAUAUUGCACAAUGGGCGCAAGCCUGAUGCAGCAACGCCGCGUGAGGGACGAC